rnacentral:rRNA from 1 species
CGGACGGGUGAGUAAUGUCUGGGAAACUGCCCGAUGGAGGGGGAUAACUACUGGAAACGGUAGCUAAUACCGCAUAACGUCGCAAGACCAAAGAGGGGGACCUUCGGGCCUCUUGCCAUCGGAUGUGCCCAGAUGGGAUUAGCUAGUAGGUGGGGUAACGGCUCACCUAGGCGACGAUCCCUAGCUGGUCUGAGAGGAUGACCAGCCACACUGAAACUGAGACACGGUCCAG